GACGUAGGGCGCGAGCGUUGUCCGGAUUUAUUGGGCGUAAAGAGCUCGUAGGCGGCUUGUUGCGUCGGCUGUGAAAACCCAUGGCUCAACCGUGGGCUUGCAGCCGAUACGGGCAGGCUAGAGUUCGGUAGGGGAGACUGGAAUUCCUGGUGUAGCGGUGAAAUGCGCAGAUAUCAGGAGGAACACCGGUGGCGAAGGCGGGCCUCUGGGCCGAUACUGACGCUGAGGAGCGAAAGCGUGGGGAGCGAACAGG
rnacentral:rRNA from 1 species